rnacentral:rRNA from 1 species
UACAGAGGUCUCAAGCGUUGUUCGGAUUCAUUGGGCGUAAAGGGUGCGCAGGCUGUGUGGUAAGUCGGAUGUGAAAUUUAGAGGCUUAACCUCUAAACUGCAUCUGAUACUGCCAUGCUAGAGGACUGUAGAGGAGAUUGGAAUUCACGGUGUAGCAGUGAAAUGCGUAGAUAUCGUGAGGAAGACCAGUGGCGAAGGCGAAUCUCUGGGCAGUUCCUGACGCUCAUGCACGAAGGCUAGGGGAGCAAACGGG